rnacentral:tRNA from 1 species
GCCUGGGUGGCUCAGUCAGUUAAGCGUCUGACUUCGGCUCAGGUAGUGAUCUGGCAGUUUGUGGGUUCGAGCCCUGCGUCGGGCU